GAAUGAAAUAGGCAACAGGAAAGACUUCUCUGAAAUUGGUGCCAGAGUCUUCCCCAGUGCCAUUGGAUGAAUAAUUUCAGGCUAGUUAAGGAAGAAGUCAAGAUGGAGAGAACUCUGCUGUGUUGCCUCCUUUCAUUCUCUGCUUUAUGCUGAAAGAAUUUGAGCAUCCUUCAAAUAUGAGAUUAAAGGAUGAAAAACACAAACUAAAGCUGGAUGGUAAGAGGCAUUCCUGGGAAGUUUUGUUCUUUCUACCCGAAGAAGCUCCACAACCUGCAGUAAGAUGGUGUCCACAGAACUGGGUGGAGUCAUUAAGAUUUUUCUACCCCUCUCCCACUGCCACCCACAUGCUAGCGCUAGCUCCUUUGUGGACCUAAGGUGUGGGGCACAAGCAUUUCUGCAGAGCCUGGGAUCGUGAAUUGAGAAAUUGAGAUAACCCAUUUCUUCUCAGAGCCUGGGACCCACAUCAUCUCCCACCCCCACUGGCCAAUGCUUUUCACAUCAACAGUUGUGAAUCUUUCCCAUGUUUCUUCAGCGCUUUUUUCUAGCUUGAUGCUCAUGGAUGAUGAUGAUGACUUAUUAUGAUACCAAUUUCCAGAGGCCGUUAGCAGUUUUUUUCAACAGCCUUCAGAAAUGUAGGUACUUUAUAAAGAGUCUCAGAAGCCAGAAGAAGUAUUCCGAAGAACGAGGACAAUUGAUGCCUCCUUACCUUAUUGUAGUAGAUUUCUACCUAUCCAUAAGCAACUAAACAAUUUAUAGCUGUCUGGAUUUAAUUGUUUUUUCCCCAAGUCUUGGAAACCAGUAUUUCCAAUGGGUUCAUAAUAUUCUGUUAUGGAAAAAAGCAAAGAAAAUCAAGUUACAAAGUAAUGUUUAUGGAGUGAACUCAUUACCAUAAAUAAAGACAAUUUCUCUACAUAUGAACUUAUGCUGAUAUGGGCAUAGUGAAAAGAAUAGAAGGAUAUACACCAAACUAUUG
rnacentral:lncRNA from 1 species